ensembl:miRNA
GAGGGCAGCGUGGGUGUGGCGGAGGCAGGCGUGACCGUGUGCCGCCCUCUCGCUGCUCUAG